CUACGGGACGCUGCAGUGGGGAAUUUUGGACAAUGGGCGAAAGCCUGAUCCAGCCAUUCCGCGUGAGUGAUGAAGGCCUUCGGGUUGUAAAGCUCUUUCGGCCGGGAAGAAAUCGUGCAGGCUAAUAUCCUGCAUGGAUGACGGUACCGGACCAAGAAGCACCGGCGAACUACGUGCCAGCAGCCGCGGUAAUACGUAGGGGUCGAGCGUUAAUCGGAAUUACUGGGCGUAAAGCGUGCGCAGGCGGAUGUUUAAGGCAGAUGUGAAAUCCCCGGGCUUAACCUGGGAAUGGCAUUUGGAACUGGACAUCUAGAGUGUGUCAGAGGGGGGUGGAAUUCCACGUGUAGCAGUGAAAUGCGUAGAGAUGUGGAGGAACACCGAUGGCGAAGGCAGCCCCCUGGGAUAACACUGACGCUCAUGCACGAAAGCGUGGGGAGCAAACAGGAUUAGAUACCCGGGUAGUC
rnacentral:rRNA from 1 species